rnacentral:rRNA from 1 species
GAUGAACGCUGGCGGCGUGCCUAAUACAUGCAAGUCGAGCGAACAGACGAGGAGCUUGCUCCUCUAACGUUAGCGGCGGACGGGUGAGUAACACGUGGAUAACCUACCAAUAAGACUGGGAUAACUUCGGGAAACCGGAGCUAAUACCGGAUAAUAUAUUGAACCGCAUGGUUCAAUAGUGAAAGACGGUUUUGCUGUCACUUAUAGAUGGAUCCGCGCCGCAUUAGCUAGUUGGUAAGGUAACAGCUUACCAAGGCAACGAUGCGUAGCCGACCUGAGAGGGUGAUCGGCCACACUGGAACUGAGACACGGUCCAGACUCCUACGGGAGGCAGCAGUAGGGAAUCUUCCGCAAUGAGCGAAAGCCUGACGGAGCAACGCCGCGUGAGUGAUGAAGGUCUUCGGAUCGUAAAACUCUGUUAUUAGGGAAGAACAAAUGUGUAAGUAACUAUGCACGUCUUGACGGUACCUAAUCAGAAAGCCACGGCUAACUACGUGCCAGCAGCCGCGGUAA